rnacentral:lncRNA from 1 species
AACUGUUUUGUAUCGGCUGUGUGUGAUCGUAUUACGGUUAAUCCCUUAUGCUCCGACCCAUAUACUGGGGUAGUAUCUUUUUAAGUACCUUCCGUUCAGAGCUCUAGUAAAUUCUUCUCCCUCUAUUGUUUCCAAAAUGUAAGCAUUCCCUGGAGCACAUCUGCCGAUUUUAUACGGCCCUUCCCAUGUAGGGGACCAUUUUCCGAAUUUAGGAUCUUUCGACCCAAUCGGCAAUACUAACUUCCAUACUAAGUCCCCAGGGGAGAAUUGUUUGACUUUGACCUUCUU